GAAAGAUGCUAAACUGUUUUUGCGAUGUGUUCCUAAUAUGCACUCUAAAUAUAUUGGGAACAUUUUGCAUGCAUAGUUUUGUAUCAAUAUA
ensembl:miRNA